UCUCAGUUCGGACUGCAGUCUGCAACUCGACUGCACGAAGUUGGAAUCGCUAGUAAUCGCGGAUCAGCACGCCGCGGUGAAUACGUUCCCGGGCCUUGUACACACCGCCCGUCACACCAUGGAAGUCUGCAAUGCCCGAAGCCGGUGGCCUAACCACUUAUGUGGAAGGAGCCGUCUAAGGCAGGGCAGAUGACUGGGGUGAAGUCGUAACAAGGUACC
rnacentral:rRNA from 1 species